AUACGUAGGGGGCGAGCGUUGUCCGGAAUUACUGGGCGUAAAGGGUGCGUAGGCGGUAUGUUAAGUCAGAUGUGAAAUACCAUGGCUCAACUGUGGUGUUGCAUAUGAAACUGGCAUGCUAGAGUGCAGGAGAGGGAAGUGGAAUUCCUAGUGUAGCGGUGAAAUGCGUAGAGAUUAGGAGGAACACCAGUGGCGAAGGCGGCUUCCUGGACUGUAACUGACGCUGAGGCACGAAAGCGUGGGGAGCAAACAGGAUUAGAUACCCUGGUAGUCCACGCCGUAAACGAUGGAUACUAGGUGUAGGGGGUAUCGACCCCCUCUGUGCCGGAGUUAACGCAAUAAGUAUCCCGCCUGGGGAGUACGGCCGCAAGGUUGAA
rnacentral:rRNA from 1 species